GACGAACGCUGGCGGCGUGCCUAAUACAUGCAAGUUGAGCGAUGAAGAUUGGUGCUUGCUCCACUGUGGAGAGCAGCGAACGGGUGAGUAACGCGUGGGUAAUCUGCCUUUGAGCGGGGGACAACAUUUGGAAACGAAUGCUAAUACCGCAUAACAACUUUAAACAUAUGUUUUAAGAUUGAAAGAUGCAAUUGCAUCCCUCUAAGGUUAUCCCGCGUUGUAUUAGCUAGUUGGUGAGGUAAAGGCUCACCAAGGCGACGAUACAUAGCCGACCUGAGAGGGUGAUCGGCCACAUUGGGACUGAGACACGGCCCAAACUCCUACGGGAGGCAGCAGUAGGGAAUCUUCGGCAAUGGACGAAAGUCUGACCGAGCAACGCCGCGUGAGUGAAGAAGGUCUUCGGAUCGUAAAACUCUGUUGGUAGAGAAGAACGUAGGUGAAAGUGAAUAGGUCAUCAAGUAACGGUAAUAAUCAAGAAAGGAACGCUAAACUACGU
rnacentral:rRNA from 1 species